rnacentral:lncRNA from 1 species
UAAAUCUCAAGAGCCAUCCUGCUUAUAUGACAUUGUCGCAACGCGAAACCUCAAUGCACAAGAAAUUUAUCAAGUCGUUUCACAACUCACAUGGUACAAUAUAAUAUUACAUGAAAUAACCGACGAUGAAACAACAUCCAACGUUUGAAUACUCUUCUAUAAGGAAUGCUAUGUUGAAAUGAACACAUCUGGCUUGAUGUUGUAACGAUCCAAACGGUCAUUUUGAGAUUCGGUGCAUCAUUCAACAGUCCGUGGCCAUGAGCAGCUUCAUUUCAGGUAUAUUGACUUGUGUUUAUGGUCAGAACUAAAAUUCAGGAAGUUUGGAGUCAAACUUAAAUGCAAAUUUCAUUUCAGAAGCUUAAAAUUGAAGAAAUGAACUAGAAUUGAAAUUUUGAGUAAACGACCUUAGAAUUGGGAUCCGAAGGUUACAGCAAGUUUGUAUGAUGAUUUCGGACUCGAAAAAAUUCCCGGAUCGGGUUUUGGAUAACCCAGGAGCAUUUUGCCGCCUAUUAUAGAAGAUAGCAUUUUAGAAGAAAUUGCAUUAGUUUGGCUUAAUAAGCAUUUCAAUGUUAUUGAUGUCCGUUUGGGAUUACGAGACUGGGAGUAGCUCCAUAUGGUGAUUUUGGAUUUGGGAGCAUGAUCGGAAAUGAAUUCGGAGGUCCGUAGGUCAUCUUGGAGUCGUUUGGCUAAAGAUAGAAAAGUGAAGGUUUUUGAAAAAAUUUGACCGGAAGUGAAAAUUUUGAUAUCAGACUCGAAAUGAAAAUUUUAAGGUUUGGAUAGCUUCGUUAGGUGAUUUGGGACUUAGGAGUGUGUCCGGAAUAUUUUUGUGAUGACCGGUGUAGAAUUAAGCUUGAAUUGGCAAAGUUAGUAUUUUGGCAAAUUCCGGUUGAUUUGUGAGAUUUUGAUCUGAGGCUCGAAAUGGAAUUCUGAGAAUUUCCGUAGCUUUGUUAUGUCAUUUUGGACUUGUGUGCAAAAUUUAAAGUCAAUCGGACGUGAUUUGAUAGGUUUCAGCAUCUAAAAUAGAAGUUGGAAAUUCUGAAGUUCAUAAAACUUGGAUUGGAGGUUGGCUUAUGAUUUUAGCAUAGUUUGAUGUCAUUUGAGGCCUCGAGAAAGUCCGUAAUGUAUUUUGGAACUGGUUGGUGUUAUUGGUCGGGGUCCCGGGGGCCUCGAAUGUGUUUCGGAUGCCCAACGGGUCAUUUUUUGAAUUUUUUUUGUUGUUUUGAGCAUAAAUGUAAUGAUCUAAAGGUUCAUUUUUUAGUUCUAGAGAUCCAAAUUUGAUUUUGAGACUUCCGGAAUUUAAAUCAUGAAUUAAGGAAUGAUCUGGAAAUUUUGCUAUAAUUUCAUCAAGUUGCGACUGAGUUUUUGAUGCAAUAUAUGAGUUAAUUAUUUAACAAGCGAAAUGGGUAUUGAACUGUGAAAAUGAGCUCUGAAUUGAUUUUUAUUGAAGGUUUAUGUUAGUAUUAUUAUUUGUGACUCAUAGGAACAAGAAUCGUGUAAUUCCGAGUUCGUAUGAUGGAGUUAGAGCCAUUUUAGUGAAAAAUAGCCGUGCUGCAAUUAAUUGGAUGCUGGUCUAAUUUGUAGCAGCAGUGAACAGUACCCGCUGUGAACAGUAACCACACGAGUGAACUGUACAACACGCGUGAACAGGGAUUCCGCGAGAACAGUUAUUCUGAAAACAAAAUUUGGGUAGUGUUAUUUUUAUCCGAAAAAUUUAGCAUUUUAGCCAUAUGUUGAGUUCUAGAGCUCUGAUUGAGGUGAUUUUCGCGUAAUUGUUCUCGUCUCAACAAGGUGGUAAAUAUAUGACCUUAAUUUUUAUGUUUCUCCCUGAUUAUUUCUGUUGGUUUCUAUUUUUAUCCGUGUUUGGAUGGUAGAAAUUAGGAUUUUGAGCCCCAAGUUGAAAAUUCGUAAAUCCUUGAUUUGAGGGCCGAUUCAGGGACAAAAUUGGAUGAUAUUCUGGAUAUACAUCAUUUGAGUUAUGGCUAAUAUUUAUUUUUAUAAUUUUCAGAAUCCGGACACGUAGUCCCGAGGGCCUUUUGGUCAUUUCACAAAGUGGAGUUGGGAAAUUGUAUAAUUUGAAUUGUUAGCAAGUAUUAGAGUAUAUUCUCAUUAGUUUGACGUUGUUUGGCUAGUUUUGGAGCAUUUGUGUGUUGGCUCAAGUCUUUGGAGGAAUGAAGAAUGCCGACAUUGAGUCUUCGGGCGAGAUUCGACGCGCGAAGAGGUCGAUUCAAUAGGAAAGGGCACUACGGACUAGUCUACGACCAGUUCAAGGUGAGUAGCUGAUGCAACUGCUAUUCUGAAGGUUUGAAACCCUGUACUUUCACAUCGUAAUGCUAUAUUGAGGUGUGACACUCAUCCCAUGGCAGGUGCGGGGUCGUAUAUGAUUGGGGAUUGUGACUUGGUCCAUCCAUAGUGAUAAUUAUAGUAUAUUCGCGACUGAUUCGCACAUCGUAUUGAUACUUAUAAUAAAUUGGCGACUGAUACGGACAUGUAUUGAUGAUAUUUGGGCUUAAUGCCACGUUUGGGGGCCAUGUGCCGACUUGUAGAAUCCUUCAUGGAUUAAUAUUGCUGCUUUGCAUGAUUUGCAUAUCAUUUAAUUUCAGUGCAAGGUUUUAAUUACUGUUUUGCAAACUCAGCCGUAAUUCUAAGUGCUGAAAACUCAAAUGACUUUUUAAAUGCAUUCCGGGAUGGAAACUUCUAUUUUGUAAAUGCCCAAGGGGCUUAUUAUAUUGUUUUCUAGACUGAUUAUAGAGUGACUUGAAACAGUGGUAACAAUGACACUGUAUGAUAUACUUGAAACAGUGGUAACAGUGACACUGUAUGAUGUGCUUGAAACAGUGGUAACAAUGGCACAGUAUGAUUUAAAUUGGUUAGGUAACUAUGGGUUGACCAGUCAGGUAACAAUGAGUGACCACGAUAUUGCGCUUGGACUGUAGGAGCCCCUACGGAGUCUGUACACACCCUCAGUGAGCGCUGUUAAUGAUAAAUAAAUAUGGAUGGCUCGGGCGGCACGCCGCAGUGGGUACUGGAAUGUACCAUCAUAUGCAUUGCAUUGGAUUCAUGUAUUUGUUUUGCACUGUUAUUUAGCUGCCCAGUUCCAUAUGUUGUUGUAUAUUUGAUUUUAGCUUUCUUUGUGUAUUUUAUUGGAUUUUCUUAUCGUCGGGCUGUACUUACUUUUCUUACUCACUGGGUCGGAGUCUCACUUUACACCCUGCACCUUGUGUGCAGAUCCUGGGCAGUCUUAGGCAUAGUAGAUCC